AACAGACACAUAUACAUAAAGCAUGAAUAUCCACCUAACAGAGCUGUACUGUUUGUAGUGAUUCACCCAGAAUUCAUAGUUAAUGCGUUUUUGUUUGAUGAUCUGUUAGAACAGUCUGCCUUUCUGCUACAAGUCCUGUCUGUCUGUAUUUUCAUGAACUACUGGCCCUUCAGGCGGACUCAGUCCUGGGAGUUUAGAGUAACGGGGUCAAACGUUAACCCAUUCCCUGCCUUUCCCCCAAGCAGGCUGCAGACACUGGCUUCGUCGCCGACUGGUCCGCUGACUUUGGUUCAUUGUCAGAAAAUGGAGACCCUGCUUCAGGAGCUGAGGCCCCUGCUGAAGGGCCACAGGGGGCGCAGGGUGGGGCUCAGGGUGGGGCUCAGGGCUUGCCCCAGGCAGACGGCGGGCAGCCGGGUGGAGACACAACUACUCCACCUCAGGACAGUGAGGCAGCCACAGCAGCUGAAGAUGAGGUGACAGACACGUUUAAUGGAUUUUCACAGUGCACUCUGAAGGAUUCCACUGGCCCAUCAUUUUUUGCUGAUUUUGAUAAGAUGGUAAGUUUUAAAAUUAUGUGCACAAUUGUAUUGCAGUUAACAUGAUUAGAAAUGGUAUUAGGGAUGUCACAAGAACCGAUACUUCGAUACCAAGUUGAUACCAAUAUACUGAAAACUUGACGGUACUCCUUCCUCCUUCUAGAAUACCGUAGGUAUCAGAGGUACUAGGGAUGCAAUCCUGAACUCCCGGACUUGACGGGACAGCUCAUACAGCCACAAAUAUGAACAUGUAGAAGACAGCGACAAAAAAUAGAGAGCCAAAAGAGUGUUUGUUAAGCUGCUUUAUACUCUAGUAUAAAAAACUAUAAGGAACAGCUUGGAUGCAGGCUUUUUUUUCUUAAUGCAAUGCACCUGUACUAUUAUGAAAAAUACAAGUAUGGAUCAGGACUCAGUAUGAGAUGUUAAAUGGGGAUCGUGGCCAAAAAACUUGAUCGGGACAUAUUUACAUAUCAUAUUGAGAAUUGUGGAAUGUAACUGGUAUUGGUAUUGACUACUACAUUUUUGAUAUCGUGACAGCCCUAAAUGGUAUAUUCAUUUCUUUAAUUAGUUGUUUCUGUUGAACAUUUCUGUCCUUUAAUCUGUUUCUUGUGAACAUUUGUGUCAGUUUAUUUAUUUUUUAUAUUUGAUCUAGAGUUUUUACCUCAAAAUAUAUUCAGUUUCCUCUGACUGUGACUGUAACCAUUUAAGGCUGGUUGAAAUUUAAUACAUUUAUAUUUGUUGUUUGCAUAGUUUUUAAAUAUCAAUGUACUUCUGAUAUCAGCUCUUUUAGACUUUGCUGUCAUUUGUUUUUCCACAUUAUUUAUCUUCUGUUGCCUGGCAGGUUAUAUCUGACAUUGCUCAGAAAUGUUUGUGGUAACAUUUUAUAAUGAGUACACACUAUUAAGCAUUAGUUAAGCAUGAAUAAAUAAUGAAAUAAUUUAUAACGCAUGAAUACACAUUAGUAUGUAGUUUAUAAACACAGUUAAAAAUGUUUUAUUCAUCAUUUAUAAGAACAUUAGUUAUGGAUUAGUAAAUACUGAAUUCAUCAUUUAUAAAGCAUGUUUCUGCUGUAAAUAGUCAUUACUAUGUGGUUUAUAAUCACAGUUAUAAAUGUUUUACUCUUCAUUGUACUGUACAUUUCUGCAUGCACUUGCACAUCCACUAUUCAGACAUGUAUUAAUGAUUAGUGAUUGUGUUAGCAGAUGUUCUAUAAAAACUCAGAACAAAUUCAUUUUCUAAUGAUGGCCUAUAAACAGUUAUUAAUGCAGGAAUUCAUGAAUUGAGGCAGUUACAAAGCACUUACUACUCGUUAAUUAAGUAUUUUGCACGAGCUCAUCUAAAGUGAGCACUAUCUAUGGCUUAUUAAGCAUUUACAAAUGAGAUAUAAAGGCUGGCAAUGCCUCGAGACUCACAAAAUGUUCAGUUAUCUUAACAGACGAAGGAGAGACACAACACAAAGGGAUAUAGAACAUAUUGUAUUGAUAUUUAUUGCAACUUCCCAACAUAUUGUAUGAAGAGGAACAAGGGUGGUUUAUGAAGACAUGCUAUUCACACUCACCUCGCCCGGCUAGACGAGACUAGUCGUGCUUCUCCAUGCUUCCCUUGGCUGCACUGUCAGAAACUUCUGAGAGUUAACGUAAAUAUGACGUAACAUCCCGCCUCCCACCGUCAUCACAUUGAUGACGUGCUGAGAGCGGGAUUGCAAGCUCAACGUACACGUCCCAAACAGAUAAGAUCACAACAAUAGCAUGUCUUCAUAAACCACCCUUGUUCGUCUUCAUAGAAUAUGUUGGGAAGUUGCAGUAAAUAUCAAUACAAUAUGUUCUAUAUCCCUUUGUGUUGUGUCUCUCCUUCGUCUGUUAAGAUAACUGAACAUUUUGUGAGUCUUGAGGCAUUGCCAGCCUUUAUAUCUCAUUUGUAAAUGCUUAAAAAGCCAUAGAUAGUGCUUACUUUAGAUGAGCUCGCGCAAAAUACUUAAUUAACGAGUAGUAAGUGCUUUGUAACUGCCUCAAUUCAUGAAUUCCUGCAUUAAUAACUGUUUAUAGGCCAUCAUUAGAAAAUGAAUUUGUUCUGAGUUUUUAUAGAACAUCUGCUAACACAGUCACUAAUCAUUAAUACAUGUCUGAAUAGUGGAUGUGCAAGUGCAUGCAGAAAUGUACAGGACAAUGAAGAGUAAAACAUUUAUAACUGUGAUUAUAAACUACAUAGUAAUGUUUAUUUACAGCAGAAACAUGCUUUAUAAAUGAUGAAUUCAGUAUUUACAAAUCCAUAACUAAUGUGCUUAUCAAUGAUGAAUAAAACAUUUUUAACUGUGUUUAUAAACUACAUACUAAUGUGUAUUCAUGCGUUUUAAAUGAUGAAUUCGGUAUUUAUUCAUGCUUAACUAAUGCUUAAUAGUGUGUACUCAUUAUAAAGUGUUACCGAAGACUUUUCCAGCAGAUUUAUAUCACUUCAGCUUGUUGUUAGCUAACUGCUGAUACACUAACUCUAGUAAAGUUAUUCUGUGAAAAUAACCAAAGUACUAGUAAAGUAAAAAAGUAAAGUAGUUGAGGAUUUCAUUGAACUUACGCCAGAAACAUAAAAUCCCUAGAUGUUUCAGUGUGGUGUUGAUGGCCUGUGUUGUUCCAUAAUGCAACACUGCAGCAGAAACAGUGAAGCUGCUCACAGUUGUAAGCUAAGCUCAAAAACAAGGACUUAUCAAUCAAGAUUCAUUCAGUGUCUAAAGGUUGAGCCUAAAUUUCUAGAUAGAGAAAGAAUUAUCCUUAAACAUUUUCAGCUACACUUACUUUUAAAGGUUAAAAAUGUGCAUUUAGAGUUUAGCAUCAGAAAAUCGCAGCUCAUCCAGGUUUUUAUGUCCUUAAGACGUGUUUGUAAUUUAGCUAAUUGAUUAGUCUCAUCAGGCUUGAUCGAUAUAACUGGGUAUCAUCUAAAAGUUAUGAAAAAAGUAUGUGNNNNNNNNNNNNNNNNNNNNNNNNNNNNNNNNNNNNNNNNNNNNNNNNNNNNNNNNNNNNNNNNNNNNNNNNNNNNNNNNNNNNNNNNNNNNNNNNNNNNCUGAAAAUGAGUCAUAUAAAUGAGUUUGUAUCAGUUCUCUUACUUUGAGUCUGAGGGUCCAGGUUCAUUGCUGAACAAUGGAGGUCUAUCAUUGGACCGGUCACUCUUCAUAGACAGACAGCUGGACGCUGCAGACUCUGCUCUGUCCUCCUCUUCCUCCACACAAACACUCAUCUUCUGAUCUGAAGUCAGUCUGAGAGUUAAACAGUAACACAGACUGUGAGCUCAGAGGACAAGAACCAGGAAACAAGAUUGUUCACGAGUCACACACACACACACACACACACACACACACACAGUAUAAUAAAGCAGUACAAUAAUAAUAAUGGUGUAUUAACACUCACUCUGCCUCAGCCUUCAGUUUCCCUCCUCCUGCUCUGUCGACUCAAAAUGGAGUCUGACUCUGAACUAUCUGAACACCUUUACCUGGAUCACAUGUUGCUUCUCCCCUCUCCAUUUACAGGAAGUCAGUGUUUAUCUUAUUGUUGUUGUGUGUGUGUGUGUGUGUGUGUGUGUGUGUGUGUGUGUGUGUGUGUGUGUGUGCAGUGUGUGUGUGUGCAUACAGCAGUGUUAAAAUACUUUCAUGCUUUAAAGUACAAGGUACAUAAUGAUUUGAGAGUAUGUGUUU
rnacentral:lncRNA from 15 species